rnacentral:tRNA from 1 species
GAAAUCCUCAUGUUAACGGUUCCA